GACGAACGCUGGCGGCAUGCCUAAUACAUGCAAGUCGACCUUAGUGGCGAACGGGUUAUUAACACGUGGGUAACCUGCCCCUCAGAAGGGGAUAACACUUAGAAACAGGUGCUAAUACCGUAUCCUGAUUGAUGGACCAGCGGGGCAUUAGCUAGUGGGUGAGGUAACGGCUCACCAAGUCCACGAUGCAUAGCCGACCUGAGAGGGUGAUCGGCCACACUGGGACUGAGACACGGCCCAAACUCCUACGGGAGGCAGCAGUAGGGAAUCUUCGGCAAUGGACGAAAGUCUGACCGAGCAACGCCGCGUGAGUGAAGAAGGUUUUCGGAUCGUAAAACUCGGUUGUUAGAGAAGCGGUAUCUAACCAGAAAGCAACGGCUAACUACGUGCCAGCCGCCGCGGUAAUAC
rnacentral:rRNA from 1 species